rnacentral:rRNA from 1 species
CACGUAGGGGGCAAGCGCUGUCCGGAUUCAUUGGGCGUAAAGAGCUCGUAGGCGGUUCGAUAAGUCGGGUGUGAAACCUCCAGGCUCAACCUGGAGACGCCACCCGAUACUGUCGUGACUAGAGUCCAGUAGGGGAGCGUGGAAUUCCUGGUGUAGCGGUGAAAUGCGCAGAUAUCAGGAGGAACACCAGUGGCGAAGGCGGCGCUCUGGGCUGGAACUGACGCUGAGGAGCGAAAGCGUGGGGAGCGAACAGG